UACGACGAUGCGACAAAUAUGACA
rnacentral:miRNA from 1 species